ensembl:lncRNA
GUUAUGUCUAGGUGUCUUUAUGGAUCACUGAAACUGUGAAUUUUGUAUACAAAUAUAGAAAAUCUGGAAAAUGUUCACCCACCCAACUUCAUUCUUUGAUGGUAUUGAAGAAGGUUGAUUUUUGUUUGUUUUUAUCACUUCUCUUUAUUGUCUCUCAUCCAAGCAGUCAAUGAACGGCUGCAACAGUUCUCCUCCAGUCCUGGAAAGAUGGACAGUUUGUUGACAUGCCAAGUGUUCAUCUUUGACCCUUAUACACAAACUCAAUCACCCACUUAUAAUCUGUCAAUUAGUACUUGGCACAUGGAAUGCUAAUUCUUAUGCUCAUUUAAAUAAUUAAGACUUAAACCAUUGUACAACGGUAAGGAGGGGGCAAUAUGAGUAGAAUGGCUACAUCCAAAAUCAGAGUUCAAAUCUUAAAUAGUGCACUGCAGUUCACCAGGGCCAUAGACAAUAGUGCACACUAUAUAGGGAACAGUGUGCACAUUUGAGAACUGGUGAAUGAGAUCACUCUGUAAGCUCAUUAGAAUAAUUACCCCACAUUUGAGACCCCUCAUUUAGCGUCUAAAUUGACCCAGAUUUUUUGCCCUGUUCCUAGAACUUCCUGGAUCCAAGCUAGGUUCAGGCUCAUUGGUGGCCACGUUCUGAGUGUUAACCCUAAAGAAUCCAACAACACACCGGGCACAUUCGUUACAUUGUUUUGUAACGCUGCCCCAUGAAAUCCUGUGUUUUUCUUACUUUGUGUUGUUGGACCUGGGAUGCCAGGCUUCCUUGAACUUUCUGAUUGUCAGGAUUUCUAGAACUUUUUGAAUGUCAGGUUUCAAUUUUCUGAACACCAGGGUUUCUAUAGCCUCCCACAUAUCAAGGUUUCUAUAACAUCCCACAUGUCAAGGUUUCUAUAACAUCCCACAUGCCAAGGUCUCUAUAACAUCCCACAUGUCAAGGUCUCUAUAACAUCCCACAUGCCAAGGUUUCUAUAACAUCCCACAUGCCAAGGUCUCUAUAACAUCCCACAUGUCAAGGUUUCUAUAACAUCCCACAUGUCAAGGUUUCUAUAACAUCCCACAUAUCAAGGUUUCUAUAACAUCCCACAUGUCAAGGUUUCUAUAACAUCCCACAUGCCAAGGUUUCUAUAACAUCCCACAUGCCAAGGUUUCUAUAACAUCCCACAUAUCAAGGUUUCUAUAACAUCCCACAUGUCAAGGUUUCUAUAACAUCCCACAUGCCAAGGUUUGCAGAAUUUCCCCUUUUCUGUGAUUGUCACUACAUUCUUUCAGAUUUUCAACCAAUCCCUAGUAUAAAUAAAGGGAAACUGAGUGAACAAAUAACAACCUUUGUAUUUAUUUAUUCUCGUUGCUAGUGUGAACAGAACAUUGUAUUGGACAAUGUAACAGUGGCCACCCCACCCGUCCUCAAACUUUUAUCUGUAUCCCUCCCUGGCUCCUGUGUCGCUGGGGCUGAGCCAUGUUGAGGGCUGUGU